CUCAUAUGUGACAGUGUACUAUUUUUUGAGAUGAAUAUCGGACUUUGGUUUACAUAGUUCAGUUUUUAGUAACAGUGGAAAAAUGAGAAUUAGGGAGCGAUGCUGAACAAAUUUGAGCUUGCGUCCUUAGUUUACUAUCUAGAUAUAAGUAAAUCAUAUUUUUCUAAAAAAAUAAAUUUCCGUUAGGUUCGAAAUUCUAAGCGGCGGAAUAGGGUUACGGGACCAGAAAUUUAUUGAUGAACUAGUGAAUCUUUUAGACUUAUUUAAUCAAUGACUUCUUGAAAACUCUACUGAAUUGAAAACAAUGAUGCUUUACAAAU